rnacentral:rRNA from 1 species
GCGAAUGCUGACAUAAGUAACGAUAAAGCGGGUGAAAAGCCCGCUCGCCGGAAGACCAAGGGUUCCUGUCCAACGUUAAUCGGGGCAGGGUGAGUCGACCCCUAAGGCGAGGCCGAAAGGCGUAGUCGAUGGGAAACGGGUUAAUAUUCCCGUACUUGGUGUUACUGCGAAGGGGGGACGGAGAAGGCUAUGUUGGCCGGGCGACGGUUGUCCCGGUUUAAGCGUGUAGGUGUGUGUUCCAGGUAAAUCCGGUUCACUUUAACACUGAGGCGUGACGACGAGGCACUACGGUGCUGAAGCAACAAAUGCCCUGCUUCCAGGAAAAGCCUCUAAGCAUCAGGUAACAUCAAAUCGUACCCCAAACCGACACAGGUGGUCAGGUAGAGAAUACCAAGGCGCUUGAGAGAACUCGGGUGAAGGAACUAGGCAAAAUGGUGCCGUAACUUCGGGAGAAGGCACGCUGACACGUAGGUGAAGUGAUUUACUCAUGGAGCUGAAGUCAGUCGAAGAUACCAGCUGGCUGCAACUGUUUAUUAAAAACACAGCACUGUGCAAACACGAAAGUGGACGUAUACGGUGUGACGCCUGCCCGGUGCCGGAAGGUUAAUUGAUGGGGUCAGCGCAAGCGAAGCUCCUGAUCGAAGCCCCGGUAAACGGCGGCCGUAACUAUAACGGUCCUAAGGUAGCGAAAUUCCUUGUCGGGUAAGUUCCGACCUGCACGAAUGGCGUAAUGAUGGCCAGGCUGUCUCCACCCGAGACUCAGUGAAAUUGAACUCGCUGUGAAGAUGCAGUGUACCCGCGGCAAGACGGAAAGACCCCGUGAACCUUUACUAUAGCUUGACACUGAACAUUGAGCCUUGAUGUGUAGGAUAGGUGGGAGGCUUUGAAGCGUGGACGCCAGUCUGCGUGGAGCCGACCUUGAAAUACCACCCUUUAAUGUUUGAUGUUCUAACGUGGACCCGU